CACGUAGGGCGCGAGCGUUGUCCGGAAUUAUUGGGCGUAAAGAGCUCGUAGGCGGCCUGUUGCGUCCGCUGUGAAAGCCCGGGGCUUAACCCCGGGUCGGCAGUGGAUACGGGCAGGCUAGAGGUAGGUAGGGGAGAAUGGAAUUCCCGGUGUAGCGGUGAAAUGCGCAGAUAUCGGGAAGAACACCCGUGGCGAAGGCGGCUCUCUGGGACGGUACUGACGCUGAGACGCGAAAGCGUGGGGAGCGAACAGG
rnacentral:rRNA from 1 species